AGUGAACGCUGGCGGUAGGCCUAACACAUGCAAGUCGAACGGCAGCACAGGAGAGCUUGCUCUCUGGGUGGCGAGUGGCGGACGGGUGAGGAAUACAUCGGAAUCUACUUUUUCGUGGGGGAUAACGUAGGGAAACUUACGCUAAUACCGCAUACGACCUACGGGUGAAAGCAGGGGACCUUCGGGCCUUGCGCGAUUGAAUGAGCCGAUGUCGGAUUAGCUAGUUGGUGGGGUAAAGGCCCACCAAGGCGACGAUCCGUAGCUGGUCUGAGGGGAUGAUCAGCCACACUGGAACUGAGACACGGUCCAGACUCCUACGGGAGGCAGCAGUGGGGAAUAUUGGACAAUGGGCGCAAGCCUGAUCCAGCCAUACCGCGUGGGUGAAGAAGGCCUUCGGGUUGUAAAGCCCUUUUGUUGGGAAAGAAAUCCAGCUGGCUAAUACCCGGUUGGGAUGACGGUACCCAAAGAAUAAGCACCGGCUAACUUCGUGCCAGCCGCCGCGGUAA
rnacentral:rRNA from 1 species